AUUGAACGCUGGCGGCAGGCCUAACACAUGCAAGUCGAGCGGAGCGGCGGACGGGUGAGUCAUGCCUAGGAAUCUGCCUGGUAGUGGAGGAUAACGUGCGGAAACGGGCGCUAAUACCGCAUACUAUCAGAUGAGCCUAGGUCGGAUGAGCUAGUUGGUGGUGGAAAGGCCUACCAAGGCGACGAUCCGUAACUGGUCUGAGAGGAUGAUCAGUCACACUGGAACGGAGACAGGGUCCAGACUCCGACGGGAGGAAGCAGUGGGGAAUAUUGGACAAUGGGCGAAAGCAUGAGCAAGCCAUGCCGCGUGUGUGAAGAAGGUCUUCGGAAUGUAAAGCACUUUAAGUUGGGAGGCGUUACCAACAGAAUAAGCACCGGCUAACUUCGUGCCAGCAGCCGCGGUAAUAC
rnacentral:rRNA from 1 species